CCCUUAAAUGUUCUGGGCAGCACGCGCGCUACAAUGGUCUUCGCAAACGGAUGCAUUCUCGAAGGAGAAUGCCAAUCUUGGAAUCUAUGCCUUGGUCGGGACAGUUGCUUGCAAUUUUUCGACUCGAACCAGGAAUUCCUUGUAAUCGUGAUUCAUCACAUCACGAUGAAUACGUCCCUGCCCUUUGUACACACCGCCCGUCGCUCCUACCGAUCGAAGAGUUAGGUGAAUUGUUUUGAUCGAUAAGAUUUGACUAUGGUCAACUCUCGUUGUGAAAUUCUGUGAAUCUGACUGUUUAGAGGAAGGAAAAGUCGUAACA
rnacentral:rRNA from 1 species